rnacentral:rRNA from 1 species
CGAAGGGUGCAAGCGUUAUUCGGAUUUAUUGGGUGUAAAGGGUGCGUAGACGGCAUAUUAAGUCCGCUGUUAAAUUUCCCGGCCUAACUGGGAGCCAGCGGUGGAUACUGAUGUGCUAGAGGAUGGAAGAGAGAAGUGGAAUUCCCGGAGUAGCGGUAAAAUGCGUAGAUCUCGGGAGGAACACCAAUGGCGAAGGCAGCUUCUUGGUCCAUAUCUGACGUUGAGGCACGAAAGCGUGGGGAGCAAACAGGAUUAGAUACCCUGGUAGUCCACGCUGUAAACGAUAAUCACUAGAUGUUGGUUUGACUUAGUCGGAUCAGUAUCGUAGCUAACGCGUUAAGUGAUUCACCUGGGGAUUACGGUCGCAAGACUA